UUCCGGUUGAUCCUGCCGGAGGCCACUGCUAUUGGGAUCCGACUAAGCCAUGCGAGUCGAGAGGGUUCGGCCCUCGGCAGACUGCUCAGUAACACGUGGAUAACCUAACCUUAGGUGGAAGAUAACCUCGGGAAACUGAGAAUAAUAUUCCAUAGAUCUAGGAUGCUGGAAUGCAUCUAGAUUGAAAGUUCCGACGCCUAAGGAUGGGUCUGCGGACUAUCAGGUUGUAGUCAGGGUAAAGACCUGACUAGCCUACGACGGAUAUGGGUUGUGAGAGCAAUAGCCCAGAGACGAUAUCUGAGACACGAUAUCGGGCCCUACGGGGCGCAGCAGGCGCGAAAUCUUCACAAUGUGCGAAAGCACGAUGAGGGGAUCCCAAGUGCUGGCACGUAAGUGUCAGCUGUUUCUUAGUCUAAAAAACUGAGAGAGUAAGGGCUGGGUAAGACGGGUGCCAGCCGCCGCGGUAAUACCUGCAGCUCAAGUGGUGGCCGCUAUUAUUGGGCCUAAAACGUCCGUAGCCUGUUUAGUAAAUGCUUGGGUAAAUUGUGUAGCUUAACUAUACGAAUACCGGGUAGACUGCUAAACUUGGGACCGGGAGAGGCUAGAGGUACUCCUGGGGUAGAGGUGAAAUUCUGUAAUCCUAGGGGGACCACCAGUGGCGAAGGCGUCUAGCUAGAACGGGUCUGACGGUGAGGGACGAAGCCCUGGGGCGCAAACCGGAUUAGAUACCCGGGUAGUCCAGGGUGUAAACGCUGCUUGCUUGAUGUUAGUUGGGCUCCGAGCCCAACUAGUGUCGGAGAGAAGUUGUUAAGCAAGCUGCCUGGGAAGUACGGUCGCAAGACUGAAACUUAAAGGAAUUGGCGGGGGAGCACAGCAACGGGUGGAGCAUGCGGUUUAAUUGGAUUCAACGCCGGA
rnacentral:rRNA from 1 species